rnacentral:tRNA from 1 species
CAUAAAGUAGCUUAAAAAAAGCGUUAGAUUUUUAAUCUAAAUAUAAAAGACUUUUUCUUUAUGA